rnacentral:lncRNA from 1 species
GUGAGACUCUGUCUCAAAAACAAAAACAAAAAAAAUCAAACUGCCAUCUGGGCACGGUGGCUCACGCCUGUAAUCCCUGCACUUUGGGAGGCCGAGGCGGGCAGAUCACGAGGUCAGGAGUUCAAGACAUGAACAAGGCCAACAAGGUGAAACCCCAUCUCUACUAAAAAUACAAAAAUUAGCUGGACAUGGUGGCACGUGCCUGUAAUCCCAGCUACUUAGGAGGCUGAGGCAGGAGAAUUGCUUGAACCAGGACCUGGGAAGCAGAGGUUUCAGUGAGCCGAGAUUGCACCACUGCACUCUAGCCUGGGCUACAGAGCAAGACUCCAUCUCAAAGAAAAAAAAAAAAAAGAAAAAGAAACAAAAAAAAUCAAACUGCCAUGGAAAUUGCUUUACCCAAAAUUUUGGUUCACAGCCUUCAUUGCAUUACCUACUGGGGCAAACAAAGUAAAACCGGAUAAAGCUGAAGGUUCAAACAAGUGGUGGAAGGAGUAUGGAAAUUAAUCUUGUGGAAGUGGUUCUCUGUGUGAGAAACAUCGGCCUGACCACCUGACUUUCUGAUCACAUUCCACUGGGAAAAAGUCCAAGGAACAUCCCUAUCACAUUCUGCUGGAACAAGGACCAAGUCACCUCAUCAUGGGAACAUCUUAUCAAUAGCCUGUUGGGCAGCAAGCCAUACUGCCCAGACCCCUCCCUCCCAUACCUGGGUCUCCUGUGUCUGGGAUUUCAUAUGUGGCUGGCUGGUAUUCCCAAGAUUGAAAUAAUAUGCCAGAAGAACCAGAAGCUAUCAUAGCUGAAGAUGUUUCAUUGUCUAAUGAGAUAAUGAAAAAAUUGAGAUAAUGAAAAUAGUGAGAUAAUAAAAUAAUUAAAAUAAUGAGAUAAUGAAA